UUGGAGGGCAAGUCUGGUGCCAGCAGCCGCGGUAAUUCCAGCUCCAAUAGCGUAUAUUAAAGUUGUUGCAGUUAAAAAGCUCAUAGUUGAAUUUCGGGAUCAAUGUUUCGGUCAUGCCGUUGGUAUGUACUGAUAUUAUUGAUUUCUCACCUUCUAAAGAACCGUAAUGCCAUUAAUUUGGUGUCACGGGGAAUUAGGACUGUUACCUUGAAAAAAUUAGAGUGUUUAAAGCAGGCUCACGCUUGAAUACAUUAGCAUGGAAUAAUGAAAUAGGACAUCCGAUUCUAUUUUGUUGGUUUCUAGGAUCGAUGUAAUGAUUAAUAGGGAUAGUUGGGGGCAUUAGUAUUCAAUUGUCAGAGGUGAAAUUCUUGGAUUUAUUGAAGACUAACUACUGCGAAAGCAUUUGCCAAGGAUGUUUUCAUUAAUCAAGAACGAAAGUUAGGGGAUCGAAGACGAUCAGAUACCGUCGUAGUCUUAACCAUAAACUAUGCCGACUAGGGAUCGGAUGAUGUUAAUUUUUUAAUGACUCAUUCGGCGCCUUACGGGAAAC
rnacentral:rRNA from 1 species